rnacentral:rRNA from 1 species
CCUACGGGAGGCAGCAGUGGGGAAUAUUGCGCAAUGGGCGAAAGCCUGACGCAGCGACGCCGCGUGAGUGAAGAAGUAUUUCGGUACGUAACGCUCUAUCAGCAGGAAAGAAAAUGACGGUACCUUACUAAGAAGCCCCGGCUAACUACGUGCCAGCAGCCGCGGUAAUACGUAGGGGGCAAGCGUUAUCCGGAUUUACUGGGUGUAAAGGGAGCGUUGACGGCAGCGCAAGUCUGGAGUGAAAUGCCGGGGCCCAACCCCGGAACUGCACUGGAAACUGGGAAGCUGGAGGGCAGGAGAGGUAAGCGGAAUUCCUGGUGGAGCGGUGAAAUGCGUAGAUAUCAGGAGGAACACCGGCGGCGAAGGCGGCUUACUGGACUGUAACUGACGGUGAGGCUCGAAGGCGUGGGGAGCAAACAGGAUUAGAUACCCUAGUAGUC